UAGGGAAUAUUGCAAAAUGGGCGAAAGCCCGAUGCAGCAACGCCGCGUGGGCGAUGAAGGCCCUCGGGUCGUAAAGCCCUUUUUGAGGGGAUGAGGAAGGACAGUACCCUCAGAAUAAGCCUCGGCUAACUACGUGCCAGCAGCCGCGGUAAAACGUAGGAGGCGAGCGUUAUCCGGAUUUACUGGGCGUAAAGCGCGUGCAGGCGGAUUGGAGAGUUGGAUGUGAAAGCUCCCGGCUUAACUGGGAGAGGUCGUUCAAUACUUCCAGUCCUGAGUGCAGUAGAGGGAAGUGGAAUUCCGGGUGUAGUGGUGAAAUGCGUAGAUAUCCGGAGGAACACCAGUGGCGAAAGCGGCUUCCUGGACUGUAACUGACGCUCAGACGCGAAAGCUAGGGUAGCAAACG
rnacentral:rRNA from 1 species